rnacentral:lncRNA from 1 species
GGGCCACCCUUGUCUGAUUCAAUCAAAUUUUAUAUUAUUUUUGUGAUAUGGAUUAGAUCCAGUUCAAACUAUGUCAAAAUCAGAUUUUCUGAUUGAUGUUUACUUAAAGUUCUUGAUGUAUUUUUGUUAAUGAUAAAUAUUAUGAAUCCAUAAUUGAAUCUUGGAUAUAAAAUUCUAUGGUCUAUAGAAUUGUGUGACAAGUUUAGAUGAGAUCCUAU